rnacentral:sRNA from 1 species
GAGUCUUAGCUGAACGCGGAGCUGCGGCUGCUGUGAUGUGGAGCGGCUGCCGGCGUCUCGGGGCGCGCCUCGGCUGCCUGCCCGGCGGUCUCCGGGCCCUCUUCCAGACCGGCCACCGGAGCUUGAGCUCCUGCAUCGACCCAUGUGUGCCUGGAUGAUUGAUAGCUUCGGAAAUGAGGAACAGAGGCACAAAUUUUGCCCACCACUCUGUACCAUGGAGAAGUUUGCUUCCUACUGCCUCACUGAACCAGGAAGUGGGAGUGAUGCUGCCUCUCUUCUGACCUCCGCUAAGAAACAGGGAGACCAUUACAUCCUCAGUGGCUCCAAGGCCUUCAUCAGUGGUGCUGGUGAGUCAGACAUCUAUGUGGUCAUGUGCCGAACAGGAGGACCAGGCCCCAAGGGCAUCUCAUGCAUAGUUGUUGAGAAGGGGACCCCUGGCCUCAGCUUUGGCAAGAAGGAGAAAAAGGUGAGUGGCUGUUGGACAGGAAACAAUUCAGAUUAUGAGACUCUGCCACCUGCCAGCCCAACUCCUGCUCUAUUUCAGAAAACAGGUUUGCAUACUUGCU